GAGCGGAUGAGAGGAGCUUGCUCCUGGAUUCAGCGGCGGACGGGUGAGUAAUGUCUGGGGAUCUGCCCGAUAGAGGGGGAUAACCACUGGAAACGGUGGCUAAUACCGCAUAACGUCGCAAGACCAAAGAGGGGGACCUUCGGGCCUCUCACUAUCGGAUGAACCCAGAUGGGAUUAGCUAGUAGGCGGGGUAAUGGCCCACCUAGGCGACGAUCCCUAGCUGGUCUGAGAGGAUGACCAGCCACACUGGAACUGAGACACGGUCCAGACUCCUACGGGAGGCAGCAGUGGGGAAUAUUGCACAAUGGGCGCAAGCCUGAUGCAGCCAUGCCGCGUGUAUGAAGAAGGCCUUCGGGUUGUAAAGUACUUUCAGCGGGGAGGAAGGCGAUGCGGUUAAUAACCGCGUCGAUUGACGUUACCCGCAGAAGAAGCACCGGCUAACUCCGUGCCAGCAGCCGCGGUAAUACGGAGGGUGCAAGCGUUAAUCGGAAUUACUGGGCGUAAAGCGCACGCAGGCGGUCUGUUAAGUCAGAUGUGAAAUCCCCGGGCUUAACCUGGGAACUGCAUUUGAAACUGGCAGGCUUGAGUCUUGUAGAGGGGGGUAGAAUUCCAGGUGUAGCGGUGAAAUGCGUAGAGAUCUGGAGGAAUACCGGUGGCGAAGGCGGCCUCCUGGACAAAGACUGACGCUCAGGUGCGAAAGCGUGGGGGGCAAACAGGAUUAGAUACCCUGGUAGUCCACGCCGUAAACGAUGUCGACUUGGAGGUUGUUCCCUUGAGGAGUGGCUUCCGGAGCUAACGCGUUAAGUCGACCGCCUGGGGAGUACGGCCGCAAGGUUAAAACUCAAAUGAAUUGACGGGGGCCCGCACAAGCGGUGGAGCAUGUGGUUUAAUUCGAUGCAACGCGAAGAACCUUACCUACUCUUGACAUCCACGGAAUUUAGCAGAGAUGCUUUAGUGCCUUCGGGAACCGUGAGACAGGUGCUGCAUGGCUGUCGUCAGCUCGUGUUGUGAAAUGUU
rnacentral:rRNA from 1 species